UUUGCUAGGGGUGCCAUAUGGCUGAGAAGGCGAGGUCCUAACUCUUUAAACCUGAUUUGGAUAAUUCCAACGUAGGGAAGCGUAUUAU
rnacentral:ncRNA from 1 species